UACAGAGGUCUCAAGCGUUGUUCGGAUUCAUUGGGCGUAAAGGGCGCGUAGGCGGCGGGGUAAGUCGGGUGUGAAAUCUCAGGGCUCAACCCUGAAACUGCACUCGAUACUGCUCUGCUUGAGGACUGGAGAGGAGACUGGAAUUCACGGUGUAGCAGUGAAAUGCGUAGAUAUCGUGAGGAAGACCAGUGGCGAAGGCGGGUCUCUGGACAGUUCCGUGACGCUGAGGCGCGAAGGCCAGGGGAGCAAACGGG
rnacentral:rRNA from 1 species